GAAUGUUUGCACGUCCCACCCGCGCUUUGCCCAGCUCCUCACUGUCCUUGGACUUCCCUGGAGAAUGUAGAACUGAUGUGCACUGUUGGCUCCUGUUGUGCUGCACAGGCCUCCGGUAUUACAAAUGGAACUCAAGGAUUAGUCUUUGUGACUCGUGAGGUGACUACACUAACACCUGGUGUUGAUAAGAUGGCAUGAAAACAGCCAGCUCUGGAAGUCGUGCUGGAGCGAUGGCUCAGAACUGAAUAGUGCUUGCUGCUCUUCCCAAGGACCCGACCUGGGUUACCAGCACCCAUGUUCUCCAGAUCACAGUCUUUGCUAACUCCAGCUCCAGGGCUUCUAACCCCCUCUUCUGGCCUCCAUGGUACCUUUACUCAUGUGCCUGACAUCCUCCCACACAUACUUAAUGAAAAAUUAGAAUUAAAUCUUUAAUAA
rnacentral:lncRNA from 1 species